rnacentral:rRNA from 1 species
UGCCGCGUGCAGGAAGACUGCCCUAUGGGUUGUAAACUGCUUUUACAGAGGAAGAACCACCCCCACGUGUGGGGGUUUGACGGUACUCUGCGAAUAAGGAUCGGCUAACUCCGUGCCAGCAGCCGCGGUAAUACGGAGGAUCCAAGCGUUAUCCGGAAUCAUUGGGUUUAAAGGGUCCGUAGGCGGGCAGUUAAGUCAGUGGUGAAAGUCUUCCGCUCAACGGGAGAACUGCCAUUGAUACUGAUUGUCUUGAGUUAUUAUGAAGUGGUUAGAAUGAGUAGUGUAGCGGUGAAAUGCAUAGAUAUUACUCAGAAUACCGAUUGCGAAGGCAGAUCACUAAUAAUAUACUGACGCUGAUGGACGAAAGCGUAGGUAGCGAACAGGAUUAGAUACCCUGGUAGUCUACGCCGUAAACGAUGGUUACUAGCUGUUCGGCCCAAUUGAGGGCUGAGUGGUUAAGCGAAAGUGAUAAGUAACCCACCUGGGGAGUACGUUCGCAAGAAUGAAACUCA